AGGAACAGGAGGAGAACCUCGUCCUAACAUGAGCAAAGUCGAAGGCUCGAUUAUUUAGAGACCGGAUGGGGGGAGAGGCCCUUACAACGGCCCUUAUGUGCCCCCACAGCCAUGUUAGAAAUAGGAGGAGAACCUCGUCCUAACAUGAGCAAAGUCGAAGGUCCAGUUAUUUAGAGACUGGAUGGGGGGAGAGGCCCUUACAACGGCCCUUAUGUGCCCCCACAGCCAUGUUAGGAAUAGGAGGAGAACCUCAUCCUAACAUG
rnacentral:lncRNA from 1 species